rnacentral:rRNA from 1 species
AACAUUUUAAAACGGAUCUCUUGGCUCUAGCAUCGAUGAAGAACGCAGCGAACGCGAUAUGUAGUGUGAAUUGCAGAAUUCAGUGAAUCAUCGAAUCUUUGGAACGCACAUGGCGCCUUCAGUUAGUCCUGGGUUAGGUUAGGUUAGGGUUA